rnacentral:rRNA from 1 species
UACGGGGGGGGCAAGCGUUGUUCGGAAUUACUGGGCGUAAAGGGCUCGUAGGCGGCCCACUAAGUCAGACGUGAAAUCCCUCGGCUUAACCGGGGAACUGCGUCUGAUACUGGAGGGCUUGAGAUCGGGAGAGGGAUGCGGAAUUCCAGGUGUAGCGGUGAAAUGCGUAGAUAUCUGGAGGAACACCGGUGGCGAAGGCGGCAUCCUGGACCGACACUGACGCUGAGGAGCGAAAGCCAGGGGAGCAAACGGG